CCUUUGGAUUUGCUCCUGAAAGCGUUGAUAGAAAUUAGAAUAACACAAAGUUAUUUGUAAUGCAGAAAACUAACCAUGAGUUCGAAUGCGAAUGGGUCAACUAUUGUGCUUACGCACGCUUGGAAUCAGUUCUGAAUCAUUCAAAUUCUAAAAACAUUGUAUUUCAAAGGUUUGUAGGUUUUUUGAUACACCCUGUAUAUACAGGGUGUCCCAAAAAGCCGACUGAACUGUUGAAAAAACGUAUUGUUAGAAUUUGAAUGCCUCAGCACUAAGCUGAACGCAAAGAUGGGUAAAAUAUUGACAGGGUGCCGGCAUACUGUACAGGGUGAGUAAAAAAAACUGAUACCUUCGCGGCUAAUUUGAAUAACAAAGAUGUCAGUUUUUUUUUACUCACCCUGUAUUACCAAAUUAAAAUACCUUCCAGGUGAUCUCGUGUUCGUAUUUUAGCCAAUCAGCGCUCAGA